rnacentral:lncRNA from 1 species
UCACAGGGCACCACGAAGCCCUCUGAAUCUACAAAUCCAACAUGCCUAUAUACAACAGUGCAUGGCACCUGAUUUUAUUUGUGCUUUUGUUUAAAGUAAGCGACG